rnacentral:rRNA from 1 species
GACAGAGGGUGCAAACGUUGUUCGGAAUUACUGGGCGUAAAGCGAGUGUAGGCGGUUUGGUAAGUCGGAUGUGAAAGCCCCGGGCUCAACCCGGGAAGUGCACUCGAUACUGCCAAGCUAGAGUAUCGGAGAGGUUGGUGGAAUUCUCGGUGUAGUGGUGAUAUGCGUAGAUAUCGGGAGGAACACCUGUGGCGAAGGCGGCUUUCUGGGCCCUACCUGACGCUGAGACGCGAAAGCGUGGGGAGCGAACCGG